rnacentral:rRNA from 1 species
UACAGAGGUCUCAAGCGUUGUUCGGAUUCAUUGGGCGUAAAGGGUGCGUAGGUGGCGCCGUAAGUCGGGUGUGAAAUUUCGGAGCUUAACUCCGAAACUGCAUUCGAUACUGCGGUGCUUGAGGACUGGAGAGGAGACUGGAAUUCAUGGUGUAGCAGUGAAAUGCGUAGAGAUCAUGAGGAAGACCAGUGGCGAAGGCGGGUUGCUAGGCUGACACUGACGCUGAGUGCGCGAAAGCCAGGGGAGCAAACGGG